rnacentral:pre_miRNA from 1 species
UUAACUCAAAAUUACGGAGUUGGAACGUUUGUUUAGGUUUGCCACUAGGGGCGCUGUUCCAACUGCAUAAAAAUUUGAGUUA